UCCUUAUCAAGAGUGACGGAGGGAACAGGCCCGAUGAUGUCCGACAACCUGCGCUUCGGGUGCAAGGUGCCAAUUCCUGCGGUAGAUGCCGAUAGAUGAGGU
rnacentral:ncRNA from 1 species